rnacentral:rRNA from 1 species
GACGAACGCUGGCGGCGUGCUUAACACAUGCAAGUCGAACGGUAAGGCCCUUCGGGGUACACGAGUGGCGAACGGGUGAGUAACACGUGGGUGAUCUGCCCUGUACUUCGGGAUAAGCCUGGGAAACUGGGUCUAAUACCGGAUAGGACCACUGCCUGCAUGGGUGGUGGUGGAAAGCUUUUGCGGUGUGGGAUGGGCCCGCGGCCUAUCAGCUUGUUGGUGGGGUGAUGGCCUACCAAGGCGACGACGGGUAGCCGGCCUGAGAGGGUGACCGGCCACACUGGGACUGAGAUACGGCCCAGACGCCGACGGGAGGCAGCAGUGGGGAAUAUUGCACAAUGGGCGCAAGCCUGAUGCAGCGACGCCGCGUGAGGGAUGACGGCCUUCGGGUUGUAAACCUCUUUCAGCACCGACGAAGCGCAAGUGACGGUAGGUGCAGAAGAAGGACCGGCCAACUACGUGCCAGCCGCCGCGGUAA